rnacentral:lncRNA from 1 species
UUGAAAGGAACGGAAGAAAAAGGAACAAGGAAAUAAAUGAGGAACAAAAAGGUGAAAACGACAGAAAAAAUGAAGAAGAGGCAGGAACUGACGUCAAAUUUUGGGAAGAGAGAGAAAAAUGAAAAAAUAAACUAAAAUAAUAAUAAAAAACCUAUUUGAGUAAUAUCCUAACUCUCCACAACAACUACAUCCCAUAAUAUCCUCCCAACUAACCACAUCCAACUACUUUAGACUCUCAACUCCACCGAACCUCUAACAGACAACCAGAACAAAAAUUAUCACCCAUGCUCACGCAGGGAUUUGAACAUAAGACCUCCAACACACUAACUCCUUACCACUCGAACCAGCAGACUCAUUCUGAUAGGGCUUAUAAAUAAUUUUACAUAAGCCCACCCACAGGGAUAAGGCUUGAAUCAAAAAUAACAAAAUUUCCAAAAGUG